AAAUGGAAAUCUGAGAGCCAUUAGUUUGUCUGAAUUUUUAAAUAUUCUGUAAGUAAUAUUUAAUGAUAUAAAAUUUUUAUUAUCCCAUUUUUUGCUUUGCUUCACACUGUUUAGGCUUUGAGAUUCCUAGUGAUGAUUUGCCAAAAUGAAAGCAUGAAAAUAAAAUGGAGAGAUUUAUCCACAUUUUAAAGUGUAUAUUUCCUAUAAGGAUACUACCCCCCCUUUGUUUUCUUUUCUAUUAUGAAAUUUGCCUGAAUAAAGGGCCCAGAAGUUUAGGAAUAGCUCAUUUAGGUUCAGACUUGUAUGUGGAUUUCUCCUUGUGGGUCAUCAUCAUAGUUCUCACUCAUUAAGGGCAAGCUCUUAAAAACUAACAACUUGUAUAUUUUUGGAUUGACAGAAGAUCUUCAAAGAUCCAGUUCAAAUAAAAAUUUGAAAUCAAUUCUAUACACUUAUGAAAGUCAACAUGAAUACAUUAACCUGCAUUCUUUCAGUUGCAAGUGACAGAAACAAACUCAAACCGACAUUAGCAUCAAAUGAUAACUGACAUUUACAUUUUUUUUUCUUUUGAUCACUGUGAAGGCCAGAGGUUAAACUGGCUUUAUGGAUGGCAGGCUGUAGAAACUUUCUUUUGUCCACUUUUUUCUUCUUUUUUGAUAAGUGUAUUGGUUCUAAUCUUAGAUUUUUCCCCAGUGGUGGCAGAAGAGGCCAUUAGCAACUCUUGGCUCAUGUCUUAAAACCUUAGCAAUCUCAGGAGAAAGCCUCUUUGUCAACAUUGCCAGCCAUUUAUUCUGACUGGGAUAAUUUGGGACAUAUGGCAGUCCCUGAAUCAGUCACCAUGUCCAGAGAAAUGGAAUAUUCUAAUUAGACACGUCCUCCACUCUGAAGGUAGGACAGAGGCUCAGCUCCAUCUGAACCAUGAAGACUGGGAUAGAGGAGAAAAAAAAUUCUAAUGUAUAAUACAAAAGGUUACAUCACUGAGUUGGAUGGUCAAUGCCUAUUAUCAUCUCUAGGGUCAGAUUACUAGUGUAAAAAAAAGAGAGAGAAAGUGGACUAGGAUCUGGGCACCUAGGUGGCUCCGUCCGUUAAGUGCUCCAUUCUUGGUUUUGGCUCAGGUCACCAUCUCACGGUUUGUGAGUUUGAGCCCCUUAUCGGGCUCCGCACUGCCCAUGAGGAGUCUGCUUGGGAUUCCCUCUCUCCCAACUUCUCUGCCCCUCCCCUGCUCACGCUCUCUCUCAAAAUAAAUGAAUAAACUUAAAAAAAAAAAAGAAAAGAUGGAGAAACGGGAACCCUCUUGCACUGUUGGUGGGAAUGCAAAUUGGUGCAGCCACUCUGGAAAACAGUGUGGAGGUCCCUCAAAAAAUUAAAAACAGACCUACCCUAUAACCCCGCAAUAGCACUGCUAGGAAUUGACCCCAGGGAUACAGGAGUACUGAUGCAUAGGGGCACUUGUACCCCGAUGUUUAUAGCAGCACUCUCAACAACAGCCAAAUUAUGGAAAGAGCCUAAAUGUCCAUCAACUGAUGAAUGGAUAAAGAAAUUGUGGUUUAUAUACACAAUGGAGUACUACGUGGCAAUGAGGAAGAAUGAAAUAUGGCCCUUUGUAGCAACAUGGAUGGAACUGGAGAGUGUGAUGCUAAGUGAAAUAAGCCAUACAGAGAAAGACAGAUACCAUAUGGUUUCACUCUUAUGUGGAUCCUGAGAAACUUAACAGGAACCCAUGGGGGAGGGGAAGAAAAAAAAAAAGAGGUUAGAGUGGGAGAGAGAGCCAAAGCAUAAGAGACUCUUAAAAACUGAGAACAGACUGAGGGUUUAUGGGGGGUGGGAGGGAGGGGUGGGUGGGUGAUGGGUAUUGAGGAGGGCACCUUUUGGGAUGAGCACUGGAUGUUGUAUGGAAACCAAUUUGACAAUAAAUUUCAUAUAUUGAAAAAACAAAAUAAGUAAAUAAACAAAAAAAAAAACAAAAGAAAGUGGACUAGGAUCCAGAAGAUCAGAGUGCUUUUUAGUUGAUAGACUUGAGGCAAAUGACUUUACGAAUUAUAUUAUACAUUAUAAUUAUUAUAUUAUACACUAUAAUUACAAUUUAUAACUUUAUGAAUUAAUUUUUCUAAUCUGUGACAUGGGCAUCACCUCUGUUUUAUUGUUUCAGUUAUAACCUACACAGUGAUAAAUCCCUAAAUGUAAUCUCUAGAUUAGAUAUCCUUCUGAUCUAGAAUAUUCUAGACUAUUCUCUUUGGAGGAUAGUCUCCAGAACUCUGGAUCUCCACCCUCCCCUCUCCCUACCCUGCUAUGGGCCCCAGGAGGCAUACCUUUGUGGACACAUGGACAGACUCCCUUGUUCUCUGAUGUCCAUUUGUGUUUGGACAAUGAAAGCCAGUGGCAGAGGAUUGUGGGGGAGCAGAAGAGAGGUGGAUAUAUUCAUCCCUUUGUGCCCUUCCUCUCAGUCAGCAGGUGGUCAGUGACUGUGUUCCUGUACUGAUGGCCACUGCUCUUGUCCAUGGCUACAGCUAAUGGUUUCAUUAAGUUGGAAACUACUCCCUUCCCUUAUCCUUUCAAGCCUGGCAGUGGUUGGAGCCUUACUUCUGAUUUCUAGACUUAGAAUGUCCCAUCAUUUCUUACUGAUUUCCUCUAACACUACUCAUAACUUUGUGAAUAGUUUUGUUAAGUCUAUUCAAGCAUUUUUCUUUUAAAGUACACUACAUAUUUUGGGUUGUGACCUUGAUUGAAACAGCUCUCAACAAAUUUCCAAAGGCAUCCCAUGUUCAAUGUUAAGAGAAUUGAGAUUAUUAUCAUAAUUCAACUCAAGAGUUUUCUUUGUUAGUUGUAACACCAUCCAUCAAUCAUUUCAACUUAAAACCUUGAAUACAAAUUCAAAUGUUCAUUCUUCUUUACCUUUACAUUCAACUAUUUAUUAAAUAUUGUCAAUUUUAUCUCAUAAUCAUUUUAAAAAUAUACUCCCCUCACCACCCCUAAUGCUUAAAUGGCCCUUCUGUUACUUCAGUUUUGACAAUCCUAUUACUAACAUGAUCACAGACCAGACCAUAUCCCUCCUCGUCUAUAACAAGUUCAUCUUUCUAGGACUCCUGGUUAACCACCAGAUAACAUCCAGACAGUGCAAUAUAUUAUUCUAUGCUAAAAAGGAAUGAGCUACCAACCCACCAAAAGACAUGGGGGAAAACUGAAUGCAUAUUUCUAAGUGAAAGAAUCAAGUCUGAGAAAGCUACAUAUUGUAUGAUUCCAAUUAUAUGACGUUCUGGAAAAAGAAAAACCAUGUAGACAGUAAUGUCAGUAGUAGUGUGCAUAGGUGGAGCACAGAGGACUUUUAGGUUGAUGAAACUAUUCUGUAUGAUCUUGUAAGGACGACUCCAUGAUGUUAUGGACUGAAUGUUUGUGUCCACCCCCAAAUUCAUAUGUUAAAAUCCUAAUGCCCAAUAUGACUGUAUUUAGAGAUAAGGCUUAGAAGGAAAUAAUUAAGGUUAAAUGAGGUCAUAAAGACGGGGCUCUGAUCUGAUAGGAUUAGUGCCCUUAUAAGAAGAGACAGGAGAGAACUCUGAGGACUUUCUCUCUUUCUCUCCACCAUGUGAGGACACAGUGAUAAGGCAUCUCUCUGCAACCUGGAAGAGAACCUCACUAGGAACCAACCAUGCUGGAAUCCUGAUCUCAGGCUUUUAAGACUUCAGACUGUGAGAAAAUUAAUUUCUGUUUAAGCCACAUAGUCUAUGGUAUUUUGUUAUGGCAGUCCUAGCAGACUGGGACACACAACAUUAUGCAUUUGUCAAAAUCCACAGAACUGAAUAACAUAGAGAGUGAAUCUUAAUGUAAACAAUGGGCUUUAGCUAGUACAAAUGUAAUAGUAUUAAUAUUGAUUCCUCAAUUAUAACAAAUAUACCACAUUAAUGGUAGAUGUUAGUCAUAGGGGACACUGGAUGUACAAGAGCAAGAGUACGGGAACUCUUUGUGCUAUUUGCUUAAUUUUUCUAUAAGCCUAAAAUUGUUCUGAAAAUAGUCUGUUAAUAAAAGGAGUUAAAAAAAAAAGAUAAUUAGUGAAUGAAAGACUGAAUACCUUCUUUGCUUACCUCAUCUCCUAGAUUUGGUGGGAACCUAAACUGAGAUCAUGCAUGUGAAGUACUUUGUAAAAGAGAACAUGCCAUUUCACACAAUCUGACAGUGCGAGGGAAGUAACCAAAUUGCCACAAAACAACUCUUGGCAGAUGCUAAUUAAUAUCUGAUCAGAACACAAAAAAUGAUAAAGAGGAGAAUACAAUGGCUGGAAUGAAUGAAUGAUACAUAAAUAAAUUUAUUUAUAAAUUUAAAUGAAGGUGUAGCAUAGGACAUAUAAAAUUAUCUGUUUACAUAAACAAUAAGAAAAUUAAAAGGAUACUGUAUCUGAUGGUGAAUGUUAUCAUUAAAUAAAGGCAAUUAAGACUAGUAGGCUAAACUUGAGAUCACCCUAUUAAAUGAAAAAUUCUUUCUAAUAGAACAGUAAGUUCUGACCACAUAAUAGACAAAGCUAUGUGAGUUAUACAAAGUCCAGGAAUUUUUAGGUAAUUGUUUGAGUAACUUUUUAAGAUUAAAAGUUACAGAAAAGUGCCUGAAGUUUUUUGAUUUGGUAGAAAAUACAGUGUGAACUUGUUGUUACAAGUCUGGGUCUGCAUGGGAGCAUCCCAUCAUCAGGUGACUAGAAAGGGUGGCUCUCAGUGCCAUCUUUCCUUUGCCAUCUUUCAGUCUAUACUUAUUCCUCAUGGGGCGUUUCCUAAGGCCAACUGGCUAGUAGCGUGUGGCGUGUCCACACUGGCACGAGCGAGAACUAGACUGGCAACAUUAUAUUCAUACAAUAUUACAUACCACAUAUCGCAUAUCUUAUACCAGAUAUUUUAUAUUCCAGUCCCCGUUCUGGCUCUGAGGGUUAUUGGGGAAGAAAAUUCUCCAAGUAAGAAACACUGAGAGUUUCUCUGUUUCUCCACUCAUCUGGAAGGAGAUUUUGCUUUGGGUUUGAAACGCUGAUUCUUGAGUAGUGAUUACUGGUUUGAUUAGAUGGUCAGGGACUUGGGGAGAACACAGUUGGAAGACUGGUGAAAAGAAAGUUUGAACAGUUACAUAUCUGCGUCCCAACUGAUUAUUCCUCAUAGGGGUUCCUGGUAGAGGAGGUUCUCCACAAUCUGAUGCACAAAAUGACCUGCUCUGUGGGUGUUAAUUUCUUUUCCGGCUACAUCGGGGCUGUCGACGGCUCCUGAACGGCAAGGUGGAGUGGUAGCAGGGAUAGACCCUUAAGAAUCUGGGUUCCUUCUCAUGAAGGCUACUUAAACUUCUGACAUUAAUUAACAAACAGCCUGUCAGUCAUAAAUAUCAAAGCUGAGCCUCCAGUAGAGCAUCCCAUUCUGGCAGAAGAUAGAUUAUAUUAGAUAUUUCUGUUGGGAGGCAUUGUAUUCACUGGAGCAAAUACUUACAUUAGAUAUGCACUUGUUUUCCUUGCUUGCUGGACUUCUGACUUUAACAUCACUGCUUAUCUCAUACACUCUUGGUGAAUAAGACAACAAAUGAAUGAGACACAAUGAGGAAGCACUUAACGUUGAUUAUGGACAAGGAAUAUAUUUUACAGAAAAAGAACAUGGAAUAAGUAGUGAAGAAAGAGAUUUAUAAAAGUAUAAAAUAGCCACUAUGUCCUCAUGACUACUUGAAGAGUGAAGGUAGAGUGUCACAUUUUCUUCCUUGGUCUUAUAUAUGUGUGUGUGAGUGUGCGUGUGCUUCUCUUUCUCAUCUUUCUUUCUUCUUUAUGUGGGGUGAAUGUGAGCUGACUUACUUGGUAAUUAUGAUUUCCAGGGCAUCAAGGUGGGAUAGAAUGACAGGAGUAGAAUGGAAAUGACUGGAGGUUUGUAAGCAAGGCUUUCUUUCUUUCUUUCUUUCUUUCUUUCUUUCUUUCUUUCUUUGUUCAGCUUUAAUCUUUUAAAAUUUUUCUUACAGAACAAGUUGUUUGGGACACCUGGGUGGCUCAGUUGGUUGAGUGUCCAACUUUGGCUCAGGUCAUGAUCUCGUGGUCGGUGAGUUUGAGACCCGCGUAGGGCUGUGUGCUGACAGCUCAGAGCCUGGAGCCUAUUUCAGAUUCCAAGUCUCCCUCUCUCUCUCUGUCCCUCCCCUGAUCAUGCUCUGUUCUCUCUGUCUCUCAAAAAUGAAUAAAUGUUAAAGAAAAAAAAAAAGAACAAGUUGUUCACUCAUAGAGCUGAAAAAGAUAAAUUAAGCAAGUCAGUUCAGGGAAGCAAAAUGUGAAUAGUUCAUAUACCUUUUAUUAGUGCAGUCUAUGGACAACUGUGUAACUAGACAUUUUCUAUAUACUACUAUGUCUGUUUUUUUUUCAUUUUAAAAUUAAUUUCAAGUCCAUGCUUGUUAAUAGACAAUUAGUAUUUACAAAGUUGUACUUUCAUUUUCAUUGAAUUGGAAUAUGAACCCUAGCUCACAAUGAAAGUGUGCCUUUGGCUCAGGUAUAAAAUUUGUGUUGCUGUUUUUUUUGUGUGUGUUUUGUUUCAUUUUUCAAUAGUUUCCUUGGGAGGUAUUGCCCACUGGCCUAACCAAUGGUGUGUUUCAGAUCUCCACAACUGAGGGAAAUUGAAGAACAAUGGUCCUCACAAUCUUUAACCGUUUAAGCCAUUGGUUCUGUUGGCUUUGCCAGAUGUCUGAAUUCUUAGAUCUACCCAGACUGCCAAAUAGUAUUUGAGACACAGACAGUCUAAUAUUUGUAGGGAGAACUUCAUGUUUUUUCUAGCCACUUGCCGGUUU
rnacentral:lncRNA from 1 species